UACGGAGGGUGCGAGCGUUAUCCGGAUUUACUGGGUUUAAAGGGUGUGUAGGCGGGCUGGUAAGUCAGGGGUGAAAUCCCGGAGCUCAACUCCGGAACUGCCUUUGAUACUACUGGUCUUGAAUAUUGUUGAGGUAGGCGGAAUGUGUCAUGUAGCGGUGAAAUGCAUAGAUAUGACACAGAACACCGAUUGCGAAGGCAGCUUACUGGGCAACUAUUGACGCUGAGGCACGAAAGCGUGGGGAUCAAACAGG
rnacentral:rRNA from 1 species